UUUAACGUUUUAAAAAAAAAUCAAUAGAUCUAAUGUAGACAGUCAUGAGAUCCACUCUAUUUUAUCUAGAUCUAGACCAUACAUGAGAUCAAUAAUUGUCAAUAUGAAUAUUUAUUAUAGAAUAGAUCGAGUCUAGAGUCUAGAUCUAAUCAUCUAUCGAUCAUCUAGUCUGUAUAGCUAUACUUACUUACUAUUAUACACUUUUACAGUAUAUGAGUAUACUCAUACGAGUCAUACUGGCUAUACUAUAGUAUAGACACUAUAGUUAGUAUAGUUAAUACUUUUUAAUAGUAGAUCUAUAAUCUAUCAAUUAUAUCUAAAUCUAGACAUCACAUUCACACGAUUAUUGAUACAGCUGAGACAGUGAAUGAAACGAAUGCAGUGGUUAUACUGAUUAUACUUAAAGUGACGAUACUACUUAUAGAUCUACCAGUUGAUAAACAUCAUCAUCAUAGAUAAUAAUCUACAUCUAUAAUCAUAGUGCCCUUUAUUUAGUCAAUAUAGUCAAGUCAAGAUAGUGGAAUGUAAACUCGAAGGUUUAAUACAAUACGUUAUUAACAAGUAGAACCAUGGCAACCAGUUCUGAUGAUGUACCAGAAUGGCUCAAGGAUCAUACUUAUACUAUUUCUACUCUCUGGGCAUCCAUUCAAUAUUUAAUUUAUGUUUGGAAAUGCAAGAAAAAGGCAUGCAUUCCUGAAAAGUCAAUGAUUGGUUGCACCUCUUAAAGGUAAGAUAACUUUCUGUUAUGAGAAAAGAUGAGAUUCUUGGACUCCUGCAUAGCACCACCAGAAAGGAAAAUCCCAUCAUGUUGCAAAUUAAAAGUCUUGGACCAAUUUUAAUUUAAGAUAUAUAUAUUAUACUGUAAGCUGUAUACAUAUUUAUGUAUAUCCUGUCAUUCAGCCAACAGGUUUGGAUUUAGUAUAUCUUUAAAUCUGUUUGAUAUUGUACUUGAAAACUAUUAAUCUGAGCCCCAUUAAAACAAGAGGGAGUGCAGUAGAUGAGUGGGAAAUUUUACUUUUUUAAAAUUAAAAUAAGAAUCUAACAAAAGUUAACAUAUAAAAUAUGGUGCAUUCUCCUUAAAACUAAAACCUGGUGCAAAGGUUUAAAAUGUUGGCAAAAAAAAAAGCAACAUCAAUUAAAUAUUCUUAAUUCCCUUUGCAACAUGCAUGUUGUUCCCUCAUAAGUUUCUUGACAGAGGAAAUCUUGUUUAUAUUAGAUUUGAAUUAAGCAAAUUAAGAAAAAAAUUAUAAUCAUUAUUUCAAAUGGUUUUAUCUAAACCUUAUGAAUUAUUUUUCAGUUAUAAGUAUUUUGAAAUGAAUGGAUAAUCAUGAAAUCGUUAAAUAAUUGCUGCUAUCAUUCCAUUGACUAAAGAACCAUAAUUUUUUUAAAAAUUAAUUUCAAAAUGAUUUUUUUCAAGCAGAGUUCACAUAGAUCUUGAGUGAAAUUUUUCUUUUUUUGACUAAUGCUUCAAUUUUAUUGUAUCAUUAGUU